GGCCUCGUAGCUCAGUUGGUUUGAGCGUUGAGUCUACCGUAGCCUAGCCCUUUCUGGCGUGGGUUUGAAUCCCACGGAGGCCA
rnacentral:tRNA from 1 species